UUGUCCAGCUUCUAAUUCUGCAAACAACAGCUGGAGAGAGGCAGCAAGGGUCAACUCAGCAACUGUGAGCUGCUCUGAGCACAAGACCUUCAGGAGUUCCUGAUGGCAGGGGAGUGGUUUCUGGUGGGUUUGCAGCUGAAAAAUCCCAAAAGCUGGGGCAUGGGCAUUAGUCAAGGAGAACCCUAUAUAAGCUGCCCUGGAACACAAUAAAAUUGGCAUUCUUGUUUCAAG